GACGAACGCUGGCGGCGUGCUUAACACAUGCAAGUCGAACGAUGAAGAAAUGAAUUGAUGCUUCGGCAGAUAUUCAUUUCCGAUUAGUGUCAGACGGGUGCGUAACGCGUCAUCAAUUUACCUCUUACAAAGGGAUAGUCCCGGGAAACCGGGAUUAAUACCACAUUACAUUUCAUCGUAUCUUUUCUCCUCAAUCAAAUCAACGGCCGUAAGGGAUGUUCUCGCGUCCCAUUAACCAGACAGUGAGGUAACGACUCACCAUAGCAACUAUGGUUAACCGGGCUGAGAGAGUGAACGGUCACACUGGAGCUGAGACACGGUGCAGACUCCUACGGGAGGCAGCAGUGGGGAAUAGAGCACAAUGGAGGGAACUAUGAUGCAGCGACGCAGCGAGAGUGAUGAAGUAGUUAGUGUCAUAAAACUCUGUUCUAUGGGAAGAAAAGGACUGUACCAGAGGAGAAAGCUCCGGCUAAAUACGUG
rnacentral:rRNA from 1 species